rnacentral:rRNA from 1 species
GACGAACGCUGGCGGCGUGCUUAACACAUGCAAGUCGAACGGAAAGGCCCUGCUUUUGUGGGGUGCUCGAGUGGCGAACGGGUGAGUAACACGUGAGUAACCUGCCCUUGACUUUGGGAUAACUUCAGGAAACUGGGGCUAAUACCGGAUAGGAGCUCCUGCUGCAUGGUGGGGGUUGGAAAGUUUCGGCGGUUGGGGAUGGACUCGCGGCUUAUCAGCUUGUUGGUGGGGUAGUGGCUUACCAAGGCGUUGACGGGUAGCCGGCCUGAGAGGGUGACCGGCCACAUUGGGACUGGGAGACGGCCCAGCCUCCUACGGGAGGCAGCAGUGGGGAAUAUUGCACAAUGGGCGGAAGCCUGAUGCAGCAACGCCGCGUGCGGGAUGACGGCCUUCGGGUUGUAAACCGCUUUCGCAUGUGACGAAGCGUGAGUGACGGUAAUGGGUAAAGAAGCACCGGCUAACUACGUG